rnacentral:rRNA from 1 species
AUACGGAGGGUGCAAGCGUUAAUCGGAAUUACUGGGCGUAAAGCGCGCGUAGGCGGUUUGAUCAGUCGGAUGUGAAAGCCCUGGGCUCAACCUGGGAACUGCAUUCGAUACUGUCAGACUAGAAUAUGGUAGAGGGUAGUGGAAUUCCUGGUGUAGCGGUGAAAUGCGUAGAUAUCAGGAGGAACAUCAGUGGCGAAGGCGGCUACCUGGACUCAAACUGACGCUGAGGAACGAAAGCGUGGGUAGCAAACAGGAUUAGAAACCCUAGUAGUCC